AUAAACCUAACACACUCUUGUAGCUCAAACCCCAAAGCGCUGGCCU
rnacentral:tRNA from 1 species